rnacentral:misc_RNA from 1 species
AAACCUUCAAGCAUUGCUUGGUGUUGGGUGCUGUUUCCGCCGCUGUGCGAAACUCGCCCCGAAUACAUUGGCAACCAGCCAUUGGGUGUUGGAGCGCAGCACAUUUUGCGUUCCUGGCCACAGUGGGCGGUGUCCAGAAAGCUUAUUUUAAC